rnacentral:rRNA from 1 species
AGAGUUUGAUCCUGGCUCAGGAUGAACGCUAGCGGCAGGCCUAAUACAUGCAAGUCGAACGGCAAGAGGUGUAGCAAUACAGCUCCUAGAGUGGCGAACGGGUGCGUAACGCGUAUGCAACCUACCCUCUACAGGGGGAUAGCCCGGAGAAAUCUGGAUUAAUACCCCAUGGCACUAUGUUGAGGCAUUUCGGCAUAGUUAAAGAUUCAUCGGUAUAGGAUGGGCAUGCGUCUGAUUAGCUAGUUGGCGGUGUAACGGACCACCAAGGCGACGAUCAGUAGGGGUUCUGAGAGGAAGGUCCCCCACACUGGCACUGAGAUACGGGCCAGACUCCUACGGGAGGCAGCAGUAGGGAAUAUUGGCCAAUGGGCGAAAGCCUGGACCAGCAAUGCCGCGUGAGGGAUGAAGGCCUUCGGGUUGUAAACCUCUGUUGUCAGGGAAGAAGCCGGUAUCCAACCCGGUGACGGUACCUGGCCAGAAAGCCCCGGCUAACUACGUGCCAGCAGCCGCGGUGAUACGUAGGGGGCAAGCGUUAUCCGGAUUUACUGGGCGUAAAGGGCGUGUAGGCGGUUCCGUAAGUCGGAUGUGAAAGUUCGAGGCUCAACUUCGGAAGUGCAUCCGAUACUGCGGUGACUUGAGGACGGUAGGGGUGUGUGGAACUUGUGGUGUAGCGGUGGAAUGCGCAGAUAUCACAAGGAACGCCGGUGGCGAAGGCGACACACUGGGCCGAUCCUGACGCUGAGGCGCGAAAGCGUGGGGAGCAAACCGGAUUAGAUACCCGGGUAGUCCACGCCGUAAACGGUGGACGCUAGGUGUGGGGGACUUGAUCCUCCGUGCCGCAGCUAACGCAGUAAGCGUCCCGCCUGGGGAGUACGGCCGCAAGGCUAAAACUCAAAGGAAUUGACGGGGGCCCGCACAAGCGGCGGAGCGCGUGGCUUAAUUCGAUGCAAAGCGCAGAACCUCACCAGGUCUUGACAUGUUGGUGGUACGACCCAGAGAUGGGAAGGACCCUUCGGGGAGCCAACACAGGUGCUGCAUGGCUGUCGUCAGCUCGUGCCGUGAGGUGUUGGGUUAAGUCCCGCAACGAGCGCAACCCGUAUCUUCCUGUUGCCAGCGCAUAAUGGCGGGGACUCAGGAGAGACUGCCGGUGACAAACCGGAGGAAGGAGCGGAUGACGUCAAGUCCUCAUGGCCCUUACGACCUGGGCUGCACACGCGCUACAAUGGCCGGUACAGACCGCUGCGAAGCCGCAAGGUGGAGCCAAUCGGACAAAGCCGGUCUCAGUUCGGAUCGAGGUCUGCAACUCGACCUCGUGAAGUCGGAGUCGCUAGUAAUCGCAGAUCAGAACGCUGCGGUGAAUACGUUCCCGGGCCUUGUACACACCGCCCGUCACGUCCUGAAAGUCGGCAACGCAUGAAGCCAGUGGCCCAACCGCAAGGGGGGAGCUGUCGAGUGCGGGGUUGGUGAUUGGGACGAAGUCGUAACAAGGUAACCGUA